rnacentral:rRNA from 1 species
UACAGAGGGGCAAGCGUUGUUCGGAAUUACUGGGCGUAAAGGGCGCGUAGGCGGCCUUCUAAGUCGAACGUGAAAUCCCCGGGCUCAACCCGGGAACUGCGUCCGAUACUGGGAGGCUUGAAUCCGGGAGAGGGAUGCGGAAUUCCAGGUGUAGCGGUGAAAUGCGUAGAUAUCUGGAGGAACACCGGUGGCGAAGGCGGCAUCCUGGACCGGCAUUGACGCUGAACGGCGAAGCUAGGGAGCAA